GACGAACGCUGGCGGCGUGCUUAACACAUGCCAGUGGAGCGACGAACCAGGGCUUGCCCUGGGGCAAAGCCGCGCACGGGUGAGUAACACGUGGGUAACCUGCCCCGAAGACCGGGACAAGCCGAGGAAACCCGGGAUAAUACCGGAUGUGGUCAACCCUCAUCAGGAGCGUGAGCAAAGGACGCUUCGGCCUCCGCGUCGGGAUGGGCCAGCGGCCCAUUAGCUUGUUGGUGAGGGAACUGCUCACCACCGCUUCGAUGGGUGGCUGGUCUGCGAGGACGAUCAUCCACACUGGGACUGAUACACGGCCCAGACUCCUACGGGAGGGAGCAGUGGGGAAUCUUGCGCAAUGUGCGACACCCUGACGCAGCAACGCCGCGUGAGGGAAGAAGGCUUUCGGGUCGUAAACCCCUUUCAGGAGGGACGAAGCUUCGGGAGUGAAUAGCUUUCCGGAGUGACGGUACUUCCACAAGAAGCCCCGGCUAACUACGUGCCAGCCGCCGCCGUAA
rnacentral:rRNA from 1 species